rnacentral:rRNA from 1 species
ACGAACGCUGGCGGCACGCUUAACACAUGCAAGUCGAACGAGAGAAGAGAAGCUUGCUUUUCUGAUCUAGUGGCGGACGGGUGAGUAACACGUGAGCAAUCUGCCUUUCAGAGGGGGAUACCGAUUGGAAACGAUCGUUAAUACCGCAUAAUAUAAUUGAACCGCAUGAUUUGAUUAUCAAAGAUUUAUCGCUGAAAGAUGAGCUCGCGUCUGAUUAGCUAGUUGGUAAGGUAACGGCUUACCAAGGCGACGAUCAGUAGCCGGACUGAGAGGUUGAUCGGCCACAUUGGGACUGAGACACGGCCCAGACUCCUACGGGAGGCAGCAGUGGGGAAUAUUGCACAAUGGAGGAAACUCUGAUGCAGCGAUGCCGCGUGAGGGAAGAAGGUUUUAGGAUUGUAAACCUCUGUCUUCAGGGACGAAAAAUGACGGUACCUGAGGAGGAAGCUCCGGCUAACUACGUGCCAGCAGCCGCGGUAAUACGUAGGGAGCGAGCGUUGUCCGGAAUUACUGGGUGUAAAGGGAGCGUAGGCGGGAUCGCAAGUCAGAUGUGAAAACUAUGGGCUUAACCCAUAAACUGCAUUUGAAACUGUGGUUCUUGAGUGAAGUAGAGGUAAGCGGAAUUCCUAGUGUAGCGGUGAAAUGCGUAGAUAUUAGGAGGAACAUCAGUGGCGAAGGCGGCUUACUGGGCUUUAACUGACGCGGAGGCUCGAAAGCGUGGGGAGCAAACAGGAUUAGAUACCCUGGUAGUCCACGCCGUAAACGAUGAUUACUAGGUGUGGGGGGACUGACCCCUUCCGUGCCGCAGCAAACGCAAUAAGUAAUCCACCUGGGGAGUACGACCGCAAGGUUGAAACUCAAAGGAAUUGACGGGGGCCCGCACAAGCAGUGGAGUAUGUGGAUUAAUUCGAAGCAACGCGAAGAACCUUACCAGGUCUUGACAUCGUAUGCAUAGCUCAGAGAUGAGUGAAAUCUCUUCGGAGACAUAUAGACAGGUGGUGCAUGGUUGUCGUCAGCUCGUGUCGUGAGAUGUUGGGUUAAGUCCCGCAACGAGCGCAACCCUUACUGUUAGUUGCUACGCAAGAGCACUCUAGCAGGACUGCCGUUGACAAAACGGAGGAAGGUGGGGAUGACGUCAAAUCAUCAUGCCCCUUAUGACCUGGGCCUCACACGUACUACAAUGGCUGUCAACAGAGGGAAGCAAAGCCGCGAGGUGGAGCAAACCCCUAAAAGCAGUCUUAGUUCGGAUUGUAGGCUGCAACCCGCCUACAUGAAGUCGGAAUUGCUAGUAAUCGCAGAUCAGCAUGCUGCGGUGAAUACGUUCCCGGGCCUUGUACACACCGCCCGUCACGCCAUGGGAGUCGGUAACACCCGAAGCCUGUAGUCUAACCGCAAGGAGGACGCAGUCGAAGGUGGGAUUGAUGACUGGGGUG